GAGGAGCAAUGGGACCAAAUCCUACUGACCGAGGACUAAAAAACAAAGCAAAACAAAACAAAGAAACAGGCCUUCUGUGAGCCGGUCCUGUGGCGCAAACGAAAUAAUGUAAACAGAAGAUUAGUUAAAGGAAAAUGAAUUAUUUCCUGCCUCAGCACUGGCAACAAGCAGAAUCCAAGAACUUAAUUCAGUCUUGUUGUUAGCAACAUACGCUCUGGCUUCACUCUGAUUUGUUCUUUUUUUUUUUUUAAGACACACGUCUGUCCCUCACAUGAUCUGGAGAAUUUAGCCACUUCCAGCAGUUUAUUCUGCAAUCUGCAUCAAGUCUGACCUCUUCCUGAGCCAUCAGUGCUUGCUAGCCCAGGAAAACCCCUUCUAGAAGCUUCUGGGAUCCGGUGAGCCCUGAAGGAAAACUCCUCACUCAUUUCCAGUGGUUUGGGAACGUGCUGGGAGCUGCAUCCGUGGGAGUGUGGAAUGCUUAGGAAGGCGGUUUGUUGGCCACAUUGCAUUGGAGCCCCGUACAGAUUCCGGCUGGUCCAGGGCGUAUAAAGAAGCCAGGGAACAGCCUUGUUUUAGGAAAAGAGAGAACUGCUUCUUCUAAAGCUGUCAGGGAGCAAAACAGUCUCGGGGUGGGGGUCAAAUUGACUUUUCCACGGGUCCUAACAGAGGCAGGGAUGUUUGAACACACUUUUAAAGUUGUUAUGCUCUAACUGUUAGUGAUUCCCAGCCCUAGCGUCCUAGAAGCACCUGAGAUUGAGCCUGAAUACGAGUUGCUGUUCCCCUUGCCCCACCGCCACCACAGGAAACGCCUUGGGUGGGGCCUAGGAAUCUGGAUUUGUAACAAACUCCCUUGGUGACCUUCAUGCAACCAGUACGGUGCCCCCACCCGUGAAGCGACGGUGAGUGCUGUCACCCAGGGGCUGCCCACAUGGCAGGGACGGCAAAAGGAGCUCAGGCUGAGCUGUUCUGGCGAAGCCCCUUCUUAGGAAAGGUGGAUCUUGGAGUUUGGAUAAGGCGACGGGGAGGGAAUGCUGAGCCCCGGGCGCUCGCGAACACCUCCUCCUUAAGGAUGCCAGCUUGCCGACUCGCCGUCCCGCGUCGCUCCGCGGGCGCCCGGCGGCCCCCCGAGAUGCGGUCGGGGGCGGAGGCGUGCCGGAAAUGCCCGCGUGGGACAAACAGCCCCGCUGGAGGACACUGGGAAGGAAGUACCUUCUGAGCUCUUAUCCAGAGUUUGCUCUUUUUAAUGGUAAAACACAGGUUGGCGAGGGGGCUCCGUUCCACAUUUCUUCACAUGUCAACCUGGAAUAAAAGAACUUCUACCUACUCCAUCUAUUGCCUUGCUCGUUGCCAUGGCAGGGGGCUCACGACAGUGUCUUAUACUGGCUAUUAAAUGCUUCUGCACAGAGCAACACAGAGUCCUUCUACUCUCAUUUCACCAGCCAAAGCAAGUCACACGGGAAGAGUAACCGCACCAUCACCACCACAAUCCCUGUCAAGCCUUGGACAUAGCUGGAGAUGGAGCUCAGAUCUGGAGGAACGCUGGGGAUUUGAAGGACACCUUCUAAGCAGCGUUGCAGAUCUCAGCUUCAAUGUUCGUUCUCAGGAUUGUCCGUCUUAGCCACCCCAUCCAAACCUGUUUCUUGAUUGAAACAAAAUCAGAAGCAACCUAUGCAUUAACAUCAACCCUACCCCUGCAUUGUGAGUCUUCCCUGAGAUGAACCUCAAUGUGUUUGGAGAUACACCAACUGCUAGACUAAUUUUGGCCAAGCAAAAUGAGUGGGUUCCGCUGGGAUGCUCUCUGGUCCCAAUCCUGCCAUCUUAAGGCAUAUUCAGCGGUCAGCUCAUGGUCCAGUCCCUGUCAUUAGUCAGGAUCCACAUGAACAAGUAUGGUUGUCCAGAACUAAGUACUUCUUACAGACAGAGAGUCAUCGCUACCUCUCCGGACAGUCAGAGUCGAGGCAGUGGCAUCUACCACCAUUGUAGGAACUAGAGAAAGGGCUCGGGAAGCCCCCUACUCACUCCAGGUUGGACACACAAGAGGCGCUGUCUGGUGCCAGAAAGUUACUCAGAAGUAUUGACAACAGAAAGUCAUUCAUUAAAUGUCAUUUCUUAGACACCAGACGAGGAAACCAGGCAGCAUUUUGGGCCCUCUGCAAGAGCCAGGGGCAAGAUUAGCAAAGACCCUUUCUCGACUGUCAAGCCCUGUAAUGAUUUGUAACCCCUCCAGUGAAUGCAAAUCAUUCUUCAGCUGUGGAUAGACCCAUCGGCUUAGGAUCCACAUCUUGCAGGCAGCCAAAAAAUAUUGGUAUUUUAAUAUUUGUAAGAAUUUACAGGGUGCUCACUAUGUGCGAGGAACUAUGGUAAACACCAUACCUGCAUUUACACAUUGAAUUCCCACAGCAAUCCAUAAGGUAGAUACCAGAUGGUAACUGAUGUUAUCAUUCUCAUCUCAGAUGAAAAACCUGAAGUUUAGCAAGCUUAAAGAAAUUGCCCAAAUUCUAUGUAUGAGGUGAUGCCAGGAUUCAAGGCUAAGUCAGCUUGACACCCAAGCCAAUACUUUUAGCCACAAUGCUAUACUAUCACUGGAUGGAAUCUUUCUGAUACAUGCCACAACCUAACCCAACAUUUCAGCAGAGAGGAGAGUAAGUGGGGAGACUGACUUCAGGAGACCAAAGUAGAAAUUGUUUCUGAAGAGUAGACCUUUGCUACUCACAGUGGCCUAGGAUCAACAGCAUCACAUCCUGAUGCAGGACUCAGGCCCCCCGACCUGCUGACUCAGAGUCAUCAUGGGUCUGCAUUGCAACAUGUCAACAUGUUGACAAGAUCCUGGGAGAUUCACAAGCAUAUCAAAGGGUGCUUCCAACCACCAGAGCGAUGUUGGAAGGUGGGUCAGGUGCUGCCGCUGGAAGGUCAGGAUGGCCAGUCAGCAAAGCCUUCCUUCCCCUGAGCCCGCGCUGCCACCACGGCCCCCGCUCAGCCCUCCUCGCCUUGCUCCUCCCUCCCUGUUGGCAGAUCUUCACGUCCCUGGCCCUGAGGCCACUGCUCUGCAUGGACUCCAUGGAGAGAAUUUAUAGACACGUGUUUACUCUCCUCGGAGCAGGGAGAGGUCCAGCCCAGUCCAGGCAGAGAAGUGUCCACGGAGGGGGGACGAGUAAUGCUCCCAGCUUCUGACUGGAAGUCUGACCUCAUCCAUCAGACAUCUCCACCGGAAAUAGCAGGCGAGUUCUGUGGCCUGAGUGACCCCAACCAAGUUUCACUUGUCUCUGAACUUUUGAAUGCGGCUCUGCUGCUAAUGUCAGCAGGGUGAAGGGAAGAGCAGACCGAUGGUUCUAGUUGCAGUUGAUACCGGUGGAAAAUGUCUCUGUGGAGACAAACAGGGCCCCUUGUGGGUUGGAGCCCAGAGGAGUUGUAAACUACAUGUGUAUGGCCAACUCCUAGGGUCCUGAAGGAAUAGUCUCCAUUUUUGUGUACUUUGUUGGAAAGUCCAAGUGACUCACAAAAUAAACCCUUUUCUCAGAAAUCUUACUUUGUGAUUUGACAUUGAAAAUACAGAUACAUUGGAUGGCUUGAAACUUCUUGAUGACUUCUGUGAAAAAGUGAUCAAAUAUCACUCAGAUGCACCUCAGCGUACACAAGCAUGUAAAUAGUUGCGUGCCCAGCAAUAUCUUUCUCCCACUGGCGCUCAGCUCUGAGGUGCUUUGUCUUAAUUUCAGCUAGAACCUCACUGGGCAGUGGCCUCUACCCCUGAAGCUUUGCCCUGCCCACACUUGGAAUUAUUAAGUAAAUAAUUGCCUAUAGCAACUGGACGACUUCCUCUCUAAAAAAACAUGGUUUUAAAACAAUUCUUUUGUGUGCCUAAAAAUCCUGUGUAAAAUAAUAACUCAGACUCACCCAUUCCAUAAUCUUCAACCUCCUUGAAGCCUAUCUAGAACACCUACAUAGGUUUGCUAUGCAAACACGGGAAGUUUCAGGUUUGAACUCCCAUGCUUUCGGCCAAAUCUUACUUUCCAGACGGGCAGGUGGUGGUUCCAACCUUCUCCUUUUCAUCAUUGCUCCAUUCAUCUGUUCACCUGACAUUUAUCAAGAGGCUCCUGUUUGCUGGAUGCCACACUGGGCUUUAUCAACCUCAAAAUGGAAAAGACUCUCGAUGGAGAAAGUGAAAGCAAGUCAUUGCCACAGAAUCACAUCAGGCGCUCGGAGUAGGGACUGACCACCUUGCCUGAAGGAUCAAAGAACGUUUCACAAGGAGGUAAUAUCUGAGCUCGAUCCUGCAAUAGUUUGCCAAGCAAAAGAGAAGGAAGGAAAAACUUUGAAGUUAAAAAAAAAUAUAUCAGCAUGAAAAUGCAGGGGUAAUAUGGGGAGUAUUUGGUGGUACAAGAUGGGAAGUGACACAGACACACACACACAUGUAUAAUCCAAUGCCCACUAUAUGCCAAGCACUGAGCCAAGUACAUUUGUAUGCAUUAUCUCUUUAAUUACACGACAACGCAAUGAGCUAGGAAUUCUUAAAUCCCCAUUUUACCAAUGUUAUUGUGGUUACCUUACAGAUGAGGCCCCACUUACCCAAGGUCCUAGAGCUCAUCAGGCAUCACUAACACCAUAGCUUUUGCUCUUAGUGACAGUACAAGCAGGUUCAGGCAAGGUGAUAAGGGUCCUUCCAAGCCAUAUAAGGACUUUGGUCUUUAUCCCGUUGGCAACCGGACACCACUGAUGCGUUUUCAAUAGGGCAACGAAGUCCUGUGGCUAAGUUUCAGAAAGAUAAUGACACAGCAGGAAUGUGGAGGAAGUGGAGGAGUGGGAAGAGGCCAGAGACAGGGAAAGCAGUUAGGAAGGCAUGCCAAUGGUCUAGGUAAGGACUAGUGGAAACUUGAACGAAGGCAGGAGUGAGAGAGCAGCAAAGGUGGAGCUGAGAGAUCAUCCAGAAAUAAAAGAGAAAGGACAAAUGUAGAGUGCUGGGUUGCCAGGGCUACCAGAUUCCUUGUUGCAAGCCCCAGAUCCUAUGUAUUCGAUCUGGUUUAAGAAGAAGAUGAAUUCGCCAAAUGAUAGGAGAGAGCUGAUAGAGUCUUUGGGAGGGCCAGAGAAUCAGAUUUGCAAGUUUUGCAGUAAGAGAGGCACCCGAAUUGCAUCAGCCCCUCUCACGGAGACUCUGCUUUCCUGCCACCACUGGCCUUAAGGACUUAGGCAUCUAGGUAUUGGAUUCCUGUUGCUGCCCUAACAAAUUGCCAUACAUGUAGUAGUCCAAGAUGACACAGAUUUAUUCUCUUACAGUUCUGGAAGUCAGAAGUCCAAAGUGGAUCUCACUGGGCUUAAAUCAAGGUGCCUGCAGCCCUUGGCUUAUGGCACCAUCCUCUAUCUUCAAAGCCAGCAGAAGAAUACCCUCAAAUCUGUCUCUCUGAUUUCUGCUUCUAUCACUGCAUCUCCUUCCCUCACUCAGCUUUUGUCAUCACAUGGCUUUCUCUGAUUCUGACUCUCCUGCCUCCCCCUUACAAGGACUCUACAGAGUACAUCAGGUCCACCCAGAUGACCCAGGAUAACUCCCCAUCUCAAGGUCCUGAGCUCUAUUGCAUGGGCCACAUGGGUCCCAUAUUCAUAUUCAGGCUCCAAAGACGCAGACAUGGACAUCCUUGGAA